GCAUGGAUGAAUUCUGCAUUGGCAUGUUGUUGACAUUGCAGUCAGACACCAUGCUAAAGUAAAUCAAAUAUGUAUUUUGAAAAAUGAUGUAUUUAUCUGAUAUCGUCAUUUUAAAUACUUUUGCACAU